UGCCACCUUUUACGCUGUCAUGUUCUCCUGAUACGAAAUGACAAAAACAAUUCAAAGUUUUGAAUAUGAUAUCACUUCCAAGAAUAGGUGAAGUUGUGUUGCCUCCUUUGUUAUCAUGUUCUUCUGAUACAAACUCGCAAAAGCGGUCGAAAAAUUUUUCGAGGCACCAAAAAUUUCAACCAAGAAAUUUCUGGCAUAUGAUGUUAUUUCCAAGACUCCAAGAAUCUCACAGUUCAGACUCACCGGGGUACCUAGUGAUAGGCAUGAAGCAGGGCUUUGUGAUGCCUAAGAUAUAUAUGUAUAUCGUAUGUCGGGUCGUCUAUGUAAAAAUCUUCGAGGAUGAGGAGAUGUGCGCCGAUCGGCUAUAGUUUCCGCGGAAUUAGAGAAGACGCUACCGUGUGGAUUUCUGAUACACCGGUCGUAUCAAGAGAUUCCAUCUUCUCUAUGACAGGCGUUACGAUACGAGUGUCUCCUAUUACUCUGAGCGGUUCUACGAUUCCCAGAGGAUAGCGGUUUAUGACAGCGGAUUCGUAUAGUUCGCGAACAAGUUUCUGCAAUUCAUGUUUACGACCAGCACGACGCGUCUUCGGCAUCGAGUUGUUACUGAAAUUGACUUAACAAAAAAGGGAGCUAACAAAGGCCCAGAUUCAUGACUAACGAAUGGAUUUCGUUCAAGUUACGAGCAGUGGUCCUCCCUGUAACUCAAAUUUGAGAGUACACCGAAUCUGUAAUUUCGACUUGUCCCUAUUUGCUUAAUGCCAAAAAGAAAUGGAUUUAAGAAGUGAAUAGAAUGUUUAACUAUUAGUAAGAACUUAUAUUUAAAACCUUCAGUAUUGAAGAAUAUAAGACUGAUACGAUUAUUAUAAAUCUUAUAUACUAUGAAAUAUACUAAUAAUAGAUUGUCCCAAAAGUUCUUUCGUUUUAUAAGGAAAUAAUAGACGCACAACAUUUUUUUGUUUAUAUUAUUUUACUGAAUUACGUAUGAUUCAUUUUGUAGUGUGUAUCACUACACGGUAACGCUAAGAAUUGAUAACGUAAUGGAAAUAGUAAUGGAAGUACAAGAACCUAUUUACUUCUAUGUACCAUUGAUAAAUCUCAAUAAAAUAGGUUUCUUCGUUAGUUGGUAAGAUAGGGAAUUUCUUUGCCCUGUAGUUGGCAUGGCAUACUUUUGAAGUUCGCUUCAUUACUUACUUUACUUCACUAUCUAUGUAUUAUUUUAUCACACUGCAUAUAUAUUUCAAUUAUUCUAAUUUGUUAUCAGCAUAAAUUUUUGCUAAUAAACAGUUGGAGGUAAGAGUUCGGAGACGUGGCGAGCUCAGAGGAAAAUUUUGUCUAAGUUUAUUAUAAAGUUUAGAUUCGCGUUAAAAUGUUGAAGUGUUUAAAUAAAUAAGUUAAAUUCUGAUAAUAUAAAAGUAAAGUAUUUAUUUGUUUAAAAUAGGCAGCAAUAUCCUCAAAAUAAUUACUCAAUGACCUCUUCAGAAGAAGAAAUAACAUUGCACAAAAUGAUGAUAUGCAUAGUCGAUAAAGUUGAUUAUAUUAUUAACAUAUAAAAAAGAUAAAUGUACUCAUAUAUAAAAAUUCUUAAACAUUAAUUUUGAAUGAGCUGAGACUUAAGUCAAACACAGAAUUUUAAUCAUUGGGUAAUUAUUCUAUCAAAUAGGUUAUUUCAACAAUAUUGAUUUUAUCUACUGCACUUUAUAUUGGAGAUAUAUCUAAUAUAUUACAUAAUAAAUUAUAUCUAUUAUAUAUGCUAUAAUAUUAUAUACAUUAAAUUCUUGCGUGUAAAUACAUAUUACAUCUAAAUAAUUGUCAAUGUAAUCUGCAAUUUUACACUUUUAAUUGUAUAUUUUAAUGAUUUUUAUAUUGACAUUAAUAAUAACAUUAUACCAAGAUACUAGCAGUAAAAUUGUUAUGAAAUUUAUGAAAAUUAUUAUAAAAUUGAAUGUAUAUACUUCUUUCUUAAUAUUGUGUAGUUCAAAUCACAGAUGAGUAUACAGCGUCCUAUUCUUAGUCAACGGUAAAACUUACGAUCUAUAUAUAAAAUAAGAAGAACAUAAUUACAAUAAUGGUUUAUCAUAAUAAAUAAAAUUAUUAAAUCAUAAUAAAUUCAAUAAUCUCGCCUUUGUAAACUGCUGGAGCUUUGUUUCAUUUAGAAUGAAGUCAUCGGCUUAACAACUUUAAAGGAAUAUGAGCUUAUCGUAUUGGUAAUUCCAGAUAUUCCAUCGUACAUAUAUAUCUCGUAUAUAUAUAUAUAUAUAUAUAUAUAUAUAUAUAUAUAUUUAAAACGUUCUAUAUUAUUCACAUGCACAAUCUAUUAAUAAAUCAUCUGUAUUGACUUUAGAUCUAUGUGUAGAUAGCGAAACGAUCACAGUAUUGUACGCGUGAGUAGUUAAUAAUAUGCACCGAGAUUAAGUGUGCAAGCCGUAGAGGCAUUGCAAAUGACCCUGAUUGGUUACAGAUCCUCGCGAUCUCUGCCGCAGCGGGAGGGAGGGGGAGGGGGAGGCAUUGUGAUGGUCGAAAAUGGUCGGAGGACCAGAAGGGAUGGGAAGAUUGCCGAAGGACGCUCCUUUCAGUCGAGAAACAAACGGUAGUGGGGAACUUGGAUACACGUGUGACUUCCUUCCCCUUCUUUCUUUGACCUGCUCUAUCUGUUUCUCUCCUUAUAAUCGCAACACAUCGAUAUUUCUCUCUCACUUUCAAACAUGUCUCUUUAUACGCACUAUUAGAUUAUUACCACGACCCUUGUUUCCCACCUUCCUGGAAGAUACCGAGAGGCGUUUAAAUGAUUUUAAUAUUCUGUACUUACUACAACAAAAUCGAAGAAUUUUGAGUAUUAUCGUUAAUAAUUCCAGAUAUCUAAUAUAUUUAAAUCAUCCAGACGAUGUCAUAGAAUUUCGGUCGUUUAAAUAAUAUGUUAAAAUUCUUAUUGCGCAAUAUGCCGAUGUUUUUAAGUCGUCAUCUGUAAAAUGAAAGAAAAAGAAAGAUGGAUAAAAUGGAAGAGAGGUGGAGAAGAGCGAGAGAGAACUGUUAUUUUAAUUUCUACUAUUCUUUUCAUGACGUAUGAGAUUUUUCUCAUGACCUAUUGGUAGCGUCAGUCACGGAAAAAUAUGCCGUGACGCCGUUUGACUACAUUAGACACGCGCCAAAUACUUCAAAACGAACACGUGCGGUUUUAAAUUCUAUUGUAAGAAUAAUAGAACGCCUUAAUAUCGUUUCUAAGAAUAUCUAAGAUAUAAGAUCUAUCCUAUUUUCGACGACAGAUCUAAAUGUAAUUGUUGAUAGAAAAUAAAUUGUGUAUAAUAAAAUAAAUUAACAAAACACGAUAAUUUUAAGAAAGGAACGUUCAAUAAUUUACUUUAUCACAGUACAGAAAGCAAUACAGUAAAGUAUUAUAAUUUAACGACAUCAUAAAUAACAACAAUAGUUAUCUUUACAGCAGUUUACUUCUUUCUUCUCUCUCUCUUUUUUUUUUUUUUCUUUUUU